GCUCCGUCCUUGGUAAGUUGGAGGAUAUUAUUAAGAACGAUAGAAGAUUGUUUUUUUCCUUUGCCUUAAAAAAUAAGAUUCUGGGCAAAAGGUCACAUACCGUAAUUCUAUUUACAAACGUCCAGAAUGGGCAAAUCCACAGAAACAGAGAGUGGAUUAGUGUUGUCAGGGGCUGGGGAGGGGAUUGGGGCAUGUCUGCUAAUGGGGUGAUGGGAUGUUCUGGAACUAGAUAGAGGGGAUGGUUGCCCAGCUUUGAAUGUAUUAAAACCCACUGAAGUGUAUACUUGAAGUGGGGGCCCAUUCUGUGUGAAUUAUAGCUCAGUAGUGCUGCUGUUGCAGAGAUGAGGCUUAGGACACAAAGGGUGUUUCUGGAGUUGUUUGACCUGUUAGGUUAGGACCGCUGUGCCGUGGGGGCCCCUGUCCUGGGACCUUCCGGGCAUCCAUGCCCUGGCCCGUAGGGGCUCUGCCUGCGUUGCCGUCCUCCACUGUGAAGCGUGGAAAUGGUGGCCUGGUCUGAGAGGGGCAGUCGCUGUCCCGGGGCAGGGCUGGCAGCUCUGGGCCUGACCAUCUCACCUCCAGCUUCAGCCCGUGUUCUUCGGGGGCCCUCCUCUCACUGUGCAUCCUCUUCGAGGCCCCUCCUCACCGCGAUAGGAACCUUAACCGGCGGGGCAGAGGUGCAGUCUAGAGUUACAGACCGUCCACACGAUGCGUCGUCCUCACUUGGUUUCUGCGGGGUCUUGGGUUAGCUGGCCGCCAAGACCCCGGCGAAAGGCCAGAGCGACCCCCGACGUGCUCCUCGGGGAAAGUGGCGAUGCCAGCCCGCGGGUGCAGUGAGGCCCGGAGAGCGCCGCCGUGGGCGGGAGGGAGGAACGCUGCUCGCCCGCUCCCGGUGGUUGCACGAGUGGUGUUUCCCCAUUUUACAGAUGGAGACCGAGGCCUGCGGCGAUUCAGGGACUCAGAGGCAGACCUGUGGCUUCCAGGCUGCAGGAGCACCCGGGGGAAGUCCUGGGGCAGGAGGGUCGGAGGCUUCGAGUCCGUCCCGGUCCCUUCCCCGCAGCCCGCUGGGCGGCAGGGCGCUGCAGGAACAGGCGCUCCCAGAACCAGCGUGUCCCACGUGGCAGGACAGGGCCCCAGCGCUGUAGGUGGAGCUCUCUGGACGUUUAAACCCACGAUGCCGCUCACGAAAUCAUUGAGACCAUCCAGAGGAAAAGAGACGUAGAGUUACAUCCAGAGAACGG